rnacentral:rRNA from 1 species
UCAACGGAGAGUUUGAUCCUGGCUCAGGAUGAACGCUGGCGGCGUGCUUAACACAUGCAAGUCGAACGAUGAUCCGGUGCUUGCACCGGGGAUUAGUGGCGAACGGGUG